ensembl:lncRNA
UGAACAUUGAUGUUCUUAACGCUGCAGCUUUAAUGCAGUCAGGAACCCCUUCACAAUGUUAAUUUGGGAACAGUUGUGCAAUAUAAAUGCAGUAAUUACCUAACAAAUAAACAGUAUACAGUCAUGUGAAAAAAUAAGUACACUCUAUGGAAAUUGUUUUUUUUUGUUGGCAUAUUUGGACAAGCAAACAUUUGAUCUUCUUUGAAACAGUACCUAUAAAGUUGACACACUCUAUCAAAUGACACAUAAAAUUGACUUUUUUUUUUUUUUUUUUUUUUAGUAAUUUUCACGAUUCAGAUUAACAAAAAAACAGAUCAGUCACAUGGAAAAAAAUCAAUUAGCCUCCAUGUCCCUGUGGAUGCCAGUGCUUCUCCUGUCUAGGAGGAAAUACUGCAAACUACUGGAUUUGUGACUCAUAGACACUGAAAUAUCAUCUUGAGGCGCUUGGUGAUUUUCUGUCACACAAACUGCCAGCACCAUAAAAGAGACAUCAUUAACUUUUUGCUCCAUGGGAAUGCAACAAGACCCAAUCCAGCAGCCCCGCCUUACCUUUUACUUACCUCCCUCCCUCCUGUCCUCAUCCCUUCUUUCUCUGCUCACUUGUCAAAGCCUCUCAUUUGCAAAGAGAAUGAGU